GGUGAACGCUGGCGGCGUGCCUAAGACAUGCAAGUCGAGCGGGCCGCGGGGUUUUACUCCGUGGUCAGCGGCGGACGGGUGAGUAACGCGUGGGUGACCUACCCGGAAGAGGGGGACAACCCGGGGAAACUCGGGCUAAUCCCCCAUGUGGACCCGCCCCUUGGGGUGUGUCCAAAGGGCUUUGCCCGCUUCCGGAUGGGCCCGCGUCCCAUCAGCUAGUUGGUGGGGUAAUGGCCCACCAAGGCGACGACGGGUAGCCGGCCUGAGAGGGUGGCCGGCCACAGGGGCACUGAGACACGGGCCUCACGCCUACGGGAGGCAGCAGUUAGGAAUCUUCCGAAAUGGGCGCAAGCCUGACGGAGCGACGCCGCUGGGAGGAAGAAGCCCUUCGGGGUGUAAACUCCUGAACCCGGGACGAAACCCCCGACGAGGGGACUGACGGUACCGGGGUAAUAGCGCCGGCCAACUCCGUG
rnacentral:rRNA from 1 species